AUUGAACGCUGGCGGCAGGCUUAACACAUGCAAGUCGAGCGAGCGGCGGACGGGUGAGUAAUGUCUGGGAAACUGCCUGAUGGAGGGGGAUAACUACUGGAAACGGUAGCUAAUACCGCAUACCAUCAGAUGUGCCCUCAGGGGAUUGGCUAGUAGGUGGGGUAAUGGCUCACCUAGGCGACGAUCCCUAGCUGGGCUGAGAGGAUGACCAGCCAAACUGGAACGGAGACACGGGCCAGACUCCUACGGGAGGCAGCAGGGGGGAAUAGUGCACAAGGGGCGCAAGCCUGAUGCAGCCAUGCCGCGUGUGUGAAGAAGGCCUUCGGGUUGUAAAGCACUUUCAGCGAGGAGGCGGGAAUCGAAGAAGAAGCACCGGCUAACUCCGUGCCAGCAGCCGCGGUAAUUG
rnacentral:rRNA from 1 species